UUUAUUCGAAUUUUUUACCCCGCCUGAUGGUCAAUACGGUAGUGCCAUCUUAACUGGCUCUUGCUAACCCUUCCAGUUUUUGGAAGUGAAUUGGUAACGCGAGUCUUUGGUGUUGGAUAUUAUAUAAACCAAACAAAUUUGUCAGAUAUUUGUAUCUCACUUGAGAAGUAAUACACAAGGAAGAUAUUAGAAAUUUCCUAAAACCUUCCUUGAUAACUAACUAGGUAAGGUCCCAACGUGAUCAAUUAACUUGACUCUACUCUAGUUGAUACUUAAUUAUGAAAACAAAAUUGUUUAAAGAAUCAAUCAUUUGGAAUAUACUAAGAAUAUACUCUAUAUCUUCUAUAUUGGAUUCUAUUUCCAAUCGUUAAUGCAUUUUUAUUUUUUAUUUCCUUUUUAUCUCUUUGUGCAGACUCAGACGCUGAAGGAUUCUCAAAGUCGAUACAUGAUAGAGUUCGAGAUAUACGAUAAGUCGCACGAUAAGGUGAUCCGUUCGAUAUUCGUUCGUUGUAGGACUGUAGGAUAUUGAAAUCCACCUGUUCGGUCAGAGCGCGCAACUACACGUACUCUACGUAUCUACAUGUGUCACGCUCCCACAACCAGUACCGCGUAUUUCCAUAGAAUCGGAAUCUUUCAUAUUGAAUCCGCAUUCGUGGAUCUUAACUCGUCAUGUGCAGUUUCCUUAGAGAUCCUUUACAUACGGAGAAGAUAACACCGGAUGUUUGAAAGACGACAAGGCGAUGAAUUUCCGGCGAGACAGAUACCGUACAACGAAAUAAAUCAAACAUUCUACAACUAUGCAAUUCCUGCAUUGGUAGGAGUGAGGGGGACCAAGUAAUCGAAAAUAUACGAAAAACAUAACCUCCACCUUCAAUUUUUCGAAGUAGAAGCAAAAUCAAUUAUUGCUCGAGCACAGAAAAAUUGCUGGUCGAUCAAAUCAGUCGACAGCUGUUGGUGAAUGGAAACUCAAAUUGCGACCACUAUUUCCCAAUAAUCGAUGUGUCGAAAGCAAAACACGCGGGCUUUAUACGCAAAGCAUGAAUACGAUUAAUCUCAUAAUGUUAAAAACAUUGAAGAAACGCAACAGUGCCUUUUUAAAAUGUAACAAUAAGAUUCAAAUAUUAAUAACCAUGGAAUUUCUGCAACAAGAGAAUAUUUAAGCUGGGUGAAUGUCGAUGAAGUUGGUUUACUCAGGGAAAGCAGAAGGCUUGUUCGUACUUGCAGAGGAGUGUCUGCGUGCUUCUCCAGCCGAACUUCCUGGACGAAAUUUCAACCGAUUAGAUUUCGUUCGGUUCUGGUACGAGAGAGAUCGAAUCUCCGGCAAAGGGAGCAGAAACGGUUCAUUAGGUGCGUAACAGAGCAAAUACAUACUUCGAGAAGGAGAAUAGAAGACAAAGUGUACCUGGGUAAAUGAGAAAAUAAGUGCGUUCGCAUGAAAGAAGAAAGGAAGAGGCUGUAGUUUGAAGUGGUAGCUUGCUUUCGAAUUUUGUUUUACGCUUGAUAGAUUGUGUCUGAGUCGUAUCACCGGAAAAUUUGGC